UACGAAGGGUGCAAACGUUGCUCGGAAUUAUUGGGCGUAAAGCGCACGUAGGCGGCUUUGCAAGUCGGAUGUGAAAUCCCUCGGCUUAACCAAGGAAGUGCAUCCGAAACUGCAGAGCUUGAGUACUUAAGAGGAUCGCGGAAUUCCCGGUGUAGAGGUGAAAUUCGUAGAUAUCAGGAAGAACACCCGUGGCUAAGGCGGUUCUCUAGUACGGUACUGACGCUGAGACGCGAAAGCGUGGGGAGCGAACAGG
rnacentral:rRNA from 1 species